rnacentral:lncRNA from 1 species
GUGGGGCGCACGUGGAUGCAUUUCUGGGAGGAAACCAAGUACCAUCCGCUCUCGCUCGCUCCCAUCCAGUGUUUUCUUCCCCCACUGCCAGAUGCCCACUGCCCACCACUGAUCUACUGAGCCAGGGUGUCCUGAGUGAAUAGCACCCUUAAUGGCAGGCACAGCCAUCAAGGGGGCCUGCAGUCAUAAGAUCAUAAAAAUCACAGCAGCAGCAACAACAGCAGCCAUCUUUCAUGGAGCAUCUCCAAGUGUGUGCCACACCCUUUGCAAACACUGCCAAACAACUUGCAGAUGAGAGGAUUCAAGCUAAAUGACAGAGACUGGGUCAGGAAGCUGAGGUCUGAACAUCUCUGGCAGCCCUCUUUCCUCUAAGCCCCUGCAUCCCCUGUCCAUUCUCUGUCCUAGGAGCUGACAUGAGUGUGUCUGGGUUCCUGAUCCAAGGAGUCACUUUAUACACAGUAGACAAAACCCAAAUUGCAAGUGUGAGAUGCAUACAGAAACCAAGGUGAGCCCUAGAGAAAAGCAACCGAGAUCCAAUCAGAGGGGUAAGGGGAGAAGGAGCAGAGCAAUGGGCCUGAAAAGAGGAGCAGUAAGAGCAGGCAUCCCCAGGUCCAAGACUCAGGGUAGGGUCCUUGGGGAAGGUUAGGGCUCCACGAUGCACACCUGUUCAGACAUGUCAUGGAUUUCAAGGCAACUGGGACACCAAAGUGCCAGAAAUGGAGCAAUCACUUGCAGAGCAUGUGAGCACACACACCUUAGGCAGAAGGUGGGGCUUUGCAAUGUUAUAUAUUACACAUGGACCAAGUCCAAUUUUCAAUGCACCAGGGAAAUGCACUUGUUAAAAGGUCUCUAAGAAGAAUAAAGAAAUUUAAGAUGACUAAAUAGGGCGCCAAUUUAAGACGACUAAAUAAGGAGCCACCCCACCUGUCCUGGCCUGCAAGCUCGUGUUCUCCCAAAGCAGGUCUUCCUGAAGUGGGACAGCUGGGCUGACCCUAGCUGAUAUUUUAUCAGCCCACUUCAGUUUCUGAUGAGCAGCGAACCACUGAUUAUUGCCACUGAUGGCUGCUGUGUCCUAUUUGUAGUGGUCUCGGGGGAGGAAGAUCCACAAGCGUCUUCACAAAUUCAUUUCAGCUCCUCUCCUUCUUCCAGGCUGAGGCUUCCCCUCUGCUGCCAAUCUCCCACCACCCCCCUUAAGAUGAACAGGCUGGGUCACUAUCCCCUAUAGUUCCUUUGUAGGCUAGCAAGCCAUAUGAAUUUCAUAAUUCUGCUUUUUCUUCUAACACAGGGCACCCAGGUCUACCUUAUUUUUCCUGAAAAGAGAGAACUACAGGACACAGAGCAAGGCAUUGGGGCAUAGGAAUGGCACAAGUCAGACUCCUGGGAGGGGGUUCCAGCUUUGCCACUUAUCAGUGGGAUCAGCUUGGCCUUGUGACCUGGCUGCUCUGAGCCACAGGUUUCUAAUCUGUAUAAGGUAGACAGGAGUAGCAGUUACAAUGAAGGGUUCUCAGGAUUACAGAAAAUCGUGUGCAGGGCACCUGGCAUGAGGGAGCUAUGACUACUACUGUGUCAGCCCCACAGACACAAAAUAAUCUCUUCCAUAUGGUUAGGUUUAAAUCAGGUUAACAAAUAUCCAUUGUGACCUGCGACACUAAGCCAAAGUACUGUCUGGGAAAUGAGAAUGGAAUAUUAGACAUGCUUUCUGUCUGAAAAAGCUUGUAAGUGAUUUGACAGAGACACCCAAACCCCUCUCAUCACCCCCAGCAUAAACACACACUUCCAUGCCCCUGCAGCAAGAUGGUCAGGCUAGGUUGUUGAAUGGAGGCAAAUUCUCUAGUGGAGUUUUCUUCCCUUUGGUCCUCUGAGCUCUCCAUGAGGUCUGUGGAUUGUGGCCCCCAUAGAUUUAUCUGAAAGAUCAAGCAGAGGUUCCUUACCAGAGAAUAAGAAGUGGAGUGAAGAGCGGGGAGGAGGCCACACUGACAGUAGGAACAAGCCCUACUAUCAACUAGUCACGUUCUCUGCCUUAGUCUCUGUGCUGUAUGUGCAUUCCAAUCAUUUAACUUAAUCCUGAAACAGCACUGCAAAUACUACAGUGGAUGCUGUCCUGCUUCACCCUGAUCCCCCAUCAAGAUUAAAGGACUCAUUUCCCAGCUCUUGGACCUCUCCGAACUACCCUUUAUAAAGAGAGCCAACUCACCCAAGGUCAAGCCCCACAUCCAAUGAGUCGUCAAUAAGGGGCUUUAAAGGCCUGGUCCCCCUCACCCCAAGUCAGUACCACUCUGCAGAGCCAUCCAGCUUCAGGGCUCUGCAUCACCUACGUUGCUGCUCAGUUUCUUCCUCUGUCCAACUCUACUUCCUUCUCUUCCCCAGCAGAUUCUGCUCCCAGAAACACUCCACAAUAAACUUCCUGCACACUUAUUUCCCUAUGAAGAAACAGAGGCUCAGAGAAAUUAAGUAGCUUUCCCUAGGUCAUGCAGCUUUUAAGUGAUAGAGCUGGGCUCAGACCCAUGGUUGUAUGACAAUAAGACUGUUAUUUUCAGUGCACAAGAUGAAAUCCCUCGUUAGGAAUUCAGUGGCUCAAACUCUAAAAUUCCCUGGAAGAAGUAGGAUGCAUACUUCAGACCAGUAAACAUCCAAAUGAGAUAAGUUCUUAUAGUUUAAAACAGAUUAUAACACUUAGUCCCUCCUCCUACUGCGAAGG